GCGGAAGUUGACGUCGUCAUGUUAACGAAGCAACGUCAAAAAGUCUAUUGUUGACAAACUAUUCAAACGCUUUCAAAGCUCUCUUAGAAAAAUGAUAAAUUUGCAGGAAAUUGAGGAAGGCUAUUGCCAGAAUGUGGCAGACUCCAUAAAUCGUGUCCGAUGAUGAUCUCUCUGAUGACGAAGGUUGUGAUUUUACCGACAAACGCCGCCGGCGAAGGCGACGCUACAACCGCCUGAAAAAGGAACGUACGGACUUCACACAGUCCGCCAAUAAGAGAUCGUUAAGUCCUGAGUCCGGUACUUCCAUGGAGGACACCAGCUCAAAUGAGAGCGAGUCAGGCGACUUGUCUAGCUCUGACUCGGACAGUGACGAUUCGUUAUUAGAGUCAUCUAACGACUCGGAUCCUGGAAGCUGCAGCUGUAGCGACUCGGACUCUGGAAGUUGCAGCAGGAACGAUGGGAGAUGAAGUAGUAAUAAAGGCUACUCCUGCAUUGCAAUCAUCACCAACAAAGCCCUCCUUUCACUUCAAAAAGAAAAACAAUGUCAUAUCGACAUCAUCAAUUUUAUGUGUAAUACUGAGACCAUAAUUACGUCUUACCAAUCUAUUACUAUGACACUGACUAUGCUUAUGGGUUAUUGAGAUUUUGUUUGGAAAGUCUCUGAAAUUGGGUAACUUUGCCAUCAUCAAAAACACAUUACCGAGUAUAAACCGUGAUAUUUGAUACACUUGUACUAUUUGGACAUUUUACCGAAUCGACAAAUAAAUAAUAAUAAAAUGUAUCUAUCUACCAUGCAUUUCGUUUUUAAACUUAUAUCAUGAUUCGAGAUCACUCAUAUAUUGAUGCGUAUGUGAAAGUAGUAACAUUCAAAGUAAUUUAAUCUGCAGUUUAUUUGUUUUUGCAUUAUAAUUAAUAUAAGCUCAAUCUAAUAAUAUGUGAUAAACACCGAUUAUGUUGUGUUACUAACAUAAUUCUAUGACGUCAUUAAAGAAUAAUAGUAGAGCUACCAGCAUGCCACGUAAACUAGUAGCGAAUCCGGAUGAUCGUAUAUGAAUAUUGAAUACAGUGUGUAGUGUUAGCAGAAAAUCGAUACAUAUAAUAUCAAAAGCUGGUAUUGCGUGUCUGGGGCUUUAUCUGGAAGUUUACUAAAGGUAAGAUUACACUAAUUCCAAUUCCCAUAGGGUUCUUUGAUAAAACAGCCACUUUCAAAGCAUUUGUCUUGCAUUGCCUAUACAUCAUUUUUACGAGUAUGGUAUCAUUUUAAAGAUGGAUCUGUCCUCUUUCAAUAAUUGCAAUAAAAACGGUACCAUCUCACAAGUUCUAAGAAAGAAAAAUUUGCCCAAAUGCAAGCACCCUCGGAAGCCGGAAUUUCAGCAGUCCGAUUUCGACAAAAGAAUAGUACUGCAAUAGACGCAUCCGAAACGUUCAUCUUUCAAUGUUGCCCACCAAACCAUGCACCAAGAUGUUGCAGGCACACACAGAAUACAAGAAAUAACCAUAAACGCAUAUGUGCUAUCGCCCAAUGGCUUUUGAACGAGAAGAGAAAAGGAACUCUUUAGAAAUAGGCACUACUUUCGAAUUGACCACGAAGGGAUACAGAAUGAUUUUGUGGAACAUUACCUAAAGGGUAUAUUUUUCCUUACCAUCCCUUAGUGGCAUUUUAGCGAAUGUAUUUUUUAUUAUCCCAAAGCCCAUAUUUCCUCCGAGACCUUAUAUACCUUACCCUUUGUUAAGCGCACAAAAUCAGCCUCGAAGUGACAUCGUUAGCUCUGUUUGGUAGCAGGUCCAAUGCAUGUACAUGUCAGUUAUAGUAUGCAGCAGCAAAUUCAUUUAUUGUACAAUUUGACAUAUAAUCUACUGCGUUAUGCCAUUUUUUAUUAAUAAAUAAUAUGGUUAUGUACACUCAGUAAAGAUUUAUUUUGUAAAAGGUUUUCUUAAUAAUGGUUUUGAACUGGUAACACUGUCGUUCGGUAAUCAGUCAAAAAAGAACAACAUUUUAUUUCUUGAAAUAAAAUGCUUUAUUUAUAAUUGGAGACGUAAAAUGGUAACCCCUACAAUUCAUGAUCUGCGAAGUAGCUGCAAACUAGCCUCCGCAGUUAUAAAAAAAAUCAAAUGGUUAUAAAAAAAAUCGUAGGAAUCGGAGUCUCUAUGUAAUACCAAUUUACCUUCAUAUCUAUUAGUGUGUUUUAUAAGAUAUUAAUAAAGCUUUGGCAUGCAUUUUUAUAACAUGACUGCUUGUUCUGUAUUUUCUUUGUAUUACAGCAAUGGUUGCGUGUAAAUGUACGAUGCAUAUUGACAAAUAAAGUAUAUUAACAAAACAAUAUUGCUGCAGUUGUUUAUCGGUUUAACUGCUUUACUAAAACAUACAUACCGAGGUCCCAUCCGCAAACGUGUAUACUAAGACGGUACGGAUAUAUCGCGUUGAAUUACUGUUUUGAAAAAGCUCAACCUCUAAGUAAAUAUGCUCGAUAGAAUAGUUUUCAUAUUUGCAUAUUGAGUAGGCGUUUUAUGGGACUGCAUUAAUUUAACAAAUACGUUGGCCAACUGGUCGUUAUCGUAUAUGUGAA